CCUACGGGAGGCUGCAGUAGGGAAUAUUGCUCAAUGGGGGAAACCCUGACGCAGCAACGCCGCGUGGAGGAUGAAGGUUUUCGGAUUGUAAACUCCUUUUGUUAGAGAAGAUAAUGACGGUAUCUAACGAAUAAGCACCGGCUAACUCCGUGCCAGCAGCCGCGGUAAUACGGAGGGUGCAAGCGUUACUCGGAAUCACUGGGCGUAAAGAGCGCGUAGGCGGGAUGGCAAGUCAGAUGUGAAAUCCUAUGGCGUAACCAUAGGAGUGCAUUUGAAAAUGUUAUUCUAGAGUGUGGGAGAGGUAAAUGGAAUUCUUGGUGUAGAGGUAAAAUCCGUAGAGAUCAAGAGGAAUACUCAUUGCGAAGGCGACCUGCUAGAACGUAACUGACGCUGAUGCGCGAAAGCGUGGGGAGCAAACAGGAUUAGAUACCCCAGUAGUC
rnacentral:rRNA from 1 species